ensembl:lncRNA
CCUCGUGUGUGAAGCGUAGUCUUGUCUCUCUCCCUCGUGUGUGAAGCGUAGUCUUGUCUCUCUCCCUCGUGUGUGAAGCGUAGUCUUGUCUCUCUCCCUCGUGUGUGAAGCGUAGUCUUGUCUCUCUCCCUCGUGUGUGAAGCGUAGUCUUGUCUCUGUUGGAGUGAGCGGUGAUGGAGUGAUGGAGUGAGCGGUGAUGGAGUGUUGGAGUGUUGGAGUGAGCGGUGUUGGAGUGAGGAGUGUUGGGGUGUUAGAGUGUUGGAGUGUUGGAGUGAUGGAGUGUUGGAGUGUUGGAGUGUUGGACUGAGCAGUGAGCGGUGAUGGAGUGAUGGAGUGUUGGAGUGAGUAGUGUUGGAGUGAUAGUGUUGAAGUGAGCGGUGAUGGAGUGUUGGAGUGAGCUGGGUUGGAGUGAUGGAUGAAGUGAUGGAGUGAUGGAGUGUUGGAGUGUUGGAGUGUUGGAGUGAGCGGUGUUGGAGUGUUGGAGUGAGCGGUGAUGGAGUGUUGGAGUGUUGGAGUGAGGAGUGUUGGAGUGAGCGGUGAUGGAGUGUUGGAGUGAUGGAGUGAUGGAGUGUUGGAGUGAGCUGGGUUGGAGUGAUGGAGUGAGUGGUGAUGGAGUGAUGGAGUGAUGGAGUGAGCGGUGAUGGAGUGUUGGAGUGAGCGGUGAUGGAGUGUUGGAGUGAGCAGUGAUGGAGUGUUGGAGUGAGCGGUGUUGGAGUGAUGGAUGAUGGAGUGUUGGAGUGAUGGAGUGUUGGAGUGUUGGAGUGAUGGAGUGUUGGAGUGAGCGGUGUUGGAGUGUUGGAGUGAGCGGUGAUGGAGUGUUGGAGUGAGGAGUGUUGGAGUGAGCGGUGAUGGAGUGUUGGAGUGUUGGAGUGAGCAGUGUUGGAGUGAGCGGUGAUGGAGUGAGCGGUGAUGGAGUGUUGGAGUGAGCGGUGAUGGAGUGUUGGAGUGAGCGGUGAGGAGUGAGCAGUGAAGCUGAAGUGAUGUGAGUGUAUCACCCCUGAUGAUGUG